rnacentral:rRNA from 1 species
CCUACGGGGGGCAGCAGUGGGGAAUAUUGGACAAUGGGCGAAAGCCUGAUCCAGCCAUGCCGCGUGUGUGAAGAAGGCCUUCGGGUUGUAAAGCACUUUCAGUGGGGAAGAAAGCCUUGGGGCUAAUACCCUCGAGGAAGGACAUCACCCACAGAAGAAGCACCGGCUAACUCCGUGCCAGCAGCCGCGGUAAUACGGAGGGUGCGAGCGUUAAUCGGAAUUACUGGGCGUAAAGCGCGCGUAGGCGGUCUGAUAAGCCGGUUGUGAAAGCCCCGGGAUCAACCUGGGAACGGCAUCCGGAACUGUCAGGCUAGAGUGCAGGAGAGGAAGGUAGAAUUCCCGGUGUAGCGGUGAAAUGCGUAGAGAUCGGGAGGAAUACCAGUGGCGAAGGCGGCCUUCUGGACUGACACUGACGCUGAGGUGCGAAAGCGUGGGUAGCAAACAGGAUUAGAUACCUUGUAGUC